CCGGCAGCAGCACGCGGGAGGCGGGGCCGGAGGCUCCUCCGCCCCUCAGCCCGCCCACCCGCGGUCCCGCAGCGGCGCGCGGCUGACGCUCCCUCAGCGAUCCGGCCCUCCGCGGCUCCUGCGCGACCCCACGCAAAAGCGCCCCGUGCGAAGAGCGCGGCCAGCCAGUCCGCAAAGGGCCUCGGGCAGUGCGGGCAGCACGAACGGCGCGAUCGGGGAGCAGGCGCGGCUACGCUCCGCCUCAGUGAUGUCGCCGGGAGGAUCUCCGCGCGGCUACCUCCUCUUCCGCCGCCUUCCUCCCACGCCUUCACCUCCCUCCCCCGCCGCGCUCUGCGGCGAAAAGGAGCGGGCUCCCAGGCCACCUCCCCUCUCUCCACCCAGGGGCCGCGCGUCAGUGGACCUGCAGCCCAGGCAACGGGGCUGCGGACGGCGCGCGUGCCCUGCCUCGCCUCACGCCGGUAGCUGAUGCUCCCGCGGCAGCUGCCACCCCAGCGCCCCAGCCACGGCUUCAGAGGCUCUCGCACGCUGGCUUUUUUUUUUUCCCCCCGCUUUGGUGAACUCGCAGUACUUGGGCUGAGCCCGAAAUCUCGCGAGAUGCUGCAGGCGUCAGUGCGGCUUCCCACUAGGCGCGUGGUACCCGAGGCCGGGCCGGAGCCGCAGGCCAGCCGCGAUUCCUUCGGGCGAUGCUGGGGGCUUUCCGGUCGGGGCCGCAGCCGCUUCCGGAGCCGCGGGCGAGGUGCGUUCCCCAGCCUGGUUUGCUCUGGGCUCUGACCCGCCGCCGCGAAUCUCCGCUCGUAACUCCGGGCCUGAACCUGGAGGAGGGAGGAUUUCCUCUGUGCAGCUUUCGAGCGGUAGACUCACCCUGCCAGGCAGACCUAGAUUGGCAUAACCAGAGAUCAGUUCCAGUUGUGAUGCAGUGGGUGUCUACACACUUCUGAUGACACCUUUAUUUUAAAAGCUGAUGUUCCAAGGUGCAAGCGGUCUUCUCUGUCU
rnacentral:lncRNA from 1 species